UGUCCUUUAAUUAAGGUAGUUUAUCUCUCCUUACUGUAAAAGGAACCCAGUGUGGGAAGUCUGGGGCUGACGUGGCUUCUCUAAAAUCAGGGAUCCAAAUUUCUUCCAAAUAAUUCUUCCACCAUUCCUGGUUUAUAGAUUCUGCCCAUAUGGUCCAAGAUGACUACAAGAUACCCAGCCAUCACAUCUAAGUUGCCAGCAGCAAAAUAAAAGAAUAACAUGCCUCUUCUUCUGGAAGAAACUUCCCAGAAAUUCUGCAUAACACUUACACUUACACUUCCUUGAUUGGAAUUUACUCACGUUCUAUGCUGAACUGCAGAAGAGACUGAGAAAUAAAGAAAUUUUAUCAGUCAGUCCCCUAAUUCCAAGAUUUCAGUAUUCUUUAAGCAAAUUAGCCUUUUCUUAACUUCUUGCUUAUUCAGUCUCUCUCAAAUUCCUUGCCAUCUUAUUCUCCUUUUAUUCACCUUGGAAAAGCCCAGCUCUAUUUUAGUCCACCUAACAGCUUUCUCUUCUUACCACAACUCCUGGAGAAAAAAAAAAAAUUCCAGGCACAUGGAGCUGGGAUUCCAGCAGUCAAGACCUCUCACUUCAGCAGACCUCAGUGCAUUUGACACUCUGUUCUUGCUCUGCUCCUCAGUCCCCUUGGUACUUAUUCCAAAACUUCUCCCUCCUUCCAGGUCUCCCAACCCAGUAACUUCUCAUGACAUUUCAGCAAAUGGCUUGUUGCUUCAUAAGAAAAUCUGAGUUAAGACAGAGACUUCCCGCACACCUCCACCCCAACUGCCCACACUGCAGUCACGGUGAACUCCUAUUGGCUCACUCAACUCCAAUUUUAGGGUCUUCCUCCUCAACUCCUCAUCCAUCUACUCUGUUUUCAGAUAUUUUGUGUAUACAUAUGCAUGAGAGAGGAAUUGUGAAGGUGAGUUUUUCAUUCAUCAAGUAAUGAAAGAAUGGAAAGACAAAGUUGGACAAACAAUGCUUGAUUCCAAUGUAUGCUUCAAUGUACACUGAUCACAUUAUUAAUUUUAGCAAAAUAA
rnacentral:lncRNA from 1 species